rnacentral:lncRNA from 1 species
CAGUCAGUCCGCAGCGCACGCGAUAAUGAGGUCAAAUCCCGAACUUUAUGUGCACGGGCUACGUCACGAAUCGGCCACGAGACUUACACGUGUUAUUGCGAGAGUUUGGCAGCUUUUUUUUCAUGAACUACACGUUGCAAAUGAAGUAGCGGGUCUCCAAGAUGGCGUGGAACCUGUUCCAGCCAGUUCAAUGCCUCGGUCCUCAGUUGUCGACAGUUUCAUCGCCUCCAACACGGGAACGGUCACGUUCACUUCAGUGCCUUGGUUGGCAUGGUCCUCAUGUUAUGUCGUUGACAUUGACAAUUUAUCAUCUCUCACACAAGAAUGUUUUCUGAGACUCAGAUUCAUGCAGUAUUAAGUUCCUGUGUGCAGAUUUUAUGAUUUUUGUACUUCAGUGUAAAGGCCGGUUCAUAUACUUGUAGCGAAUGGAAAGCGACAUUGACAUCAUGAAACCUUCGCUUCAAAUUUGCCGGAAUUGAAACAUGCUCAACUUUUGUGGAAUUGCAGUGCCGUGACGUCAACAAUUUGAAUUUGCAUUCGCAGAGUAUGAUCCGGCCUUUAUAUGUACUGCGUUGUGCAAACAACAUCAUCACCAUUUGUUGUUGCCAUGUUAAACACGGUUAUUUAAAGUCAUGCCACGGAUACCAUGCCAAAGACAGCAACCAAAGAUUAUCUAACAUUUACUACAUGUAAAUAUUGCUUCAUGUACAUAAUCGUGAUUAGUGACACUAUGCCAAAACUGUGGUUAUUGUUAUCAUCUUCACUUCACUGUAAAUUGUUUAAAUUGAACCUGUUACUACCAGAUUUUAGCAGUUUUUAGAUUGUAGGAGAGUUGAUGAUAUAUUUGCUAUUGAUUUUUGUUGACGUUUAUUUCUUAUCCAGACAGAUGUUGUCAGACAUGUAUGCCAAAACUCAUUUUUGAAAAAUGUUUUCCCUUCUUUAUGCAAGCUGAUUUUUAUUCUGACUGGAAACAUGGGUAUUAUUAACACAUGUAUUUGCAAUUUGUGAUGUGAGGUGUCAUGAAAAGAAGUUAUCUGAGUUUUCCAUGAGUGUUUCAAAGCAAGGAUGUGAUGGUGUUAUUAUACAAAACUGAUCUAGUAUGUUAAUGCUUGCAAGAACAUGUACAUGUAAGUUUAUUUAUUUUUGUUAUUUUUAUUAUAAAAAUCUUUGGACAAUAAUUAAAAAUCUAUUUAAAAAAUAAAAGUAAAUUGUCCUGGUCAAGACAAACGUUUGUAGAAACUGUCAUCAAAGAUGAGUCAGCCCAAUUAAAAAUUAAAAUUUAGAAUUAAAUAAAUACAACAGGCAUUUUAUAUGAAAAUAAACAGUUCUUAUAUAAAACAGUUCAUAACAUGAACUCAAAGUUUAUAGGAUUUUUAUAAGUUGUGUUUUCAAAAUUGUCUUCAAUAAAUACAGAAAACAAAUAUCCUGAAAUAA